AUUGUAAUAAUAUUCAUAGCUCCUACUCGAUCCGUCUCAUCAGAAGCUUCAAACGUCUCAGUUUCGGUCAACGAUGGAGACGCCUAAUUCCAUGGAGAUGCCUCUUCACGGAUCCGCUUCUCUUCCAAAUAAAUUCAUGGGAACUAAUUUCAUCAAGAGAGAGAGAUCAUUCCUUCAGUCUCCCACUUAUGGAAACCUCGUCACUGUUCUUAGCAUCGAUGGAGGUGGAAUCAGAGGAAUUAUCCCCGGCACUGUUCUCAGUUUCCUUGAGUCUGAGCUUCAGAAGCAAGAUGGCGAGGAUGCAAGACUGGCAGAUUACUUUGAUGUCAUUGCAGGAACUAGCACCGGUGGUCUAGUGACUGCGAUGCUUACCGCCCCGGAUGAAAACGGCCGUCCAUUAUUUGCUGCUAAAGAUAUCAACAAAUUUUACCUUGAACACUGCCCUAAGAUAUUCCCCCAAGAUAAUUGCAAUAUUGAUUGUCUUCCCUUCACUCAUGUAACUGAUGCGAUGGCAGCGGUAAAAGCUUUCAGAGGGCCAAAGUAUGAUGGGGAGUAUUUACAUAAAAUAGUGAAGGAAAAGUUGGGAGAAACUAGGUUGCAUCAGACAUUGACUAACGUCAUAAUUCCCACUUUUGAUAUAAAGAGGCUCCAACCAACCAUCUUCUCCAGCUAUGAGGUGAGGAAGAACAGUAGCCUAGAUGCUUUACUCUCGGAUAUAUGCAUUGCAACUUCAGCAGCCCCAACCUAUCUUCCAGCCCAUCAUUUUGAAACAGAAGAUUCCACGACUGGUCAAAUAAGAGAAUUUGAUCUCAUUGAUGGUGGUGUUGUUGCUAAUAACCCAGCACUGGUGGCUAUGAGUGAAGUGUCAAAAGAAAUUUUCACGGGAAAUCCCGACUUUUUUUACAAUGAAGCCAAUAGAAUAUGCCCGGUUUCUAGUUGUAUCAUUGGGUACUGGGUCAGCAAAAUGUGAUGAGAAGUACGAUGCCCAAAAUGCAGCUAAGUGGGGUAUUCUGGGAUGGUUGAUCGGAGGCGGUGGCGGUUCCUGUCCGUUGGUUGAUAUAUUUACUCAAGCAAGUAGUGACAUGGUUGAUUUCCACCUUUCUACAGUAUUUCAAGCUCUUCAUUCUGAGAAAAAUUACCUAAGAAUCCAGGAUGAUGAUUUGGGCAAGACAUUGUGUUCUGUGGACAUUGCUACACAAGAAAACUUGCAAAAUCUUGUAAAAGUUGGAGAAAACUUGUUAAAGAAACCAGUUUCCCAAGUGAACUUGGACACAGGUAUCCAUGAGCCUGCCCAUCAUUCUACCAACGAAGAGGCUCUAGCAAGGGUUGCUGGAAUUUUGUCCAAGGAAAGGAGAGUACGUGAAAUGAGAUCGCCACAGGGAAAGAAGGCCACAACAAUAGCCAGCUCCAAAUUGUCAAAUCUGUCAUUCUCCUUCAAAAAUGUUUAACCAAUUAAUAUAUUAUUCCUUUUAAUUAGGUCAUUAAUUGGUAUUCGAAAGAACGACUCAAUCCAUCAUUGAUAGAUUACGUUUACAAACUAUG